UUCUCAAAAUCCUCCUAUAUUUUCUUCAUUUGGUGAUUUGUUUUGGAGAAGAGCAUGAACCCUAGGUUUGUCGUUUUUGUGAGACAAGGAAGAUCGACUUCAUUUAUCGGUUAGGUGAGUUCUAUAGGUUAAUUUUGAGGGGAUUUCAUUCAUCGGUACUGAACCCUAGUUGGUAGGAUGGAUUUGGUAGGUUCCAAUGUAGGGUUUGGGAAGAAUUUUUAUUCUCAUUGGCGAUGUAGUAUGUAGUGAAUCGAAUGAAUGUGAUGGUAUGAAGUUUGUGCCACAUUGUCUAGUUUGGUUUACUUGUGUAAGUUAGUCUUUUAGUACCCUUGUCGUUGUUUAAUUGAAAUAGAUGUACUAAUAGUAUUACUUACUUUGAAAGGUGGUCGGACUUUGUAGAUGGAGAGAGUUGUUCAUGUGCACUAUGGUGGAAGUGUCCUAGAGUCGAGUAAUGGUGGUAGUCAGUUCGAUGGGAUGUCGGUGAAGAUGAUUGUUUUUCAAUCUAAGCCUACCUUCGAGGAGCUUUUGUGUCGUACGAAGGAUAUUCUGGGUUGGUCGGACAAGGUGGUAUCCAUUCAAGAUAGAUAUGAUAUGGGGGGAGAGCCUAUUUCACAUAAGCAAAUGCUAGAGUUGAAUGGAGAGACCGAAUGGGAGGCAUAUGUUGAGAUAGUGAAGGAAUCACGGUUCACUAUGUGCACUUAGUUGUCGUGGAACUACGAACCUAUUUUGUUAAAUGUGCUUCUGCUUGGAAACUGGUUUGGGAUGCUUCUGCAUGGGUGUAGGGAUGUUUGAAAGUUUAAAUGCUAAUUUCUGAAUAUACCUCCUCCACUCUCUUGCGAGCUUUUCCCUCCUUGCCGUUGUUGCGUGAUGUGGAGAACGGCAACACCUGGUCGGUGCUCUGGAGAGCACCUUUCCCUUUGCGCUGGGGUGGUGGGUGGUUCAAGCUGCCCGCUCCGACGAAAUUGGCCAUGGCAGAUGGACCAAGAGGUGGAGGGAAGCCAAGGGGACGACGCGGUAGCGUUGCGACUCAGAACAACGGCGCUAGCGGCGGAGAUGAGGUGAUACGGGUGGGACGCGUCUGGAACUCUGGAUCUGAUGGGUAAAGUGAAGUGGUGUGUGUUUCUUACUUGUUGCUGAAGAAGGGAAGUCCGUUGCAGGUACCGUGACGCAUUUCGCUAACCUAGCUAACCGCAACGAGGAAUUGGAGGCCCAGCUUCAACAACUUCGCUCCAGCUUCAACAUCCUCCAAGCCUUUGCCACUCCCUUCGUCGCUGUCCUGAUUUGUAUCAUCGCCAUCGCUGCGUGGCGUUUCGCUUAAUCCGACCGGCUACAAGUUAGCCACAAGUAUACUUUUGUGUAGCAUAUGGUGCUAAUGCCAAUAUGGUAGUACUAUAAAGACAACUAGAGGUGAACGCGCGCUUCGCGCGUUGCACCAGUGGUGCCAGGAGAGGAAAAUCAUUGAUUACAUCUGUUGGUUCUGGUAGGUAACUGAAACAAAUGCUAUUUGCAAGGUCUGUGAAGGUCAAGUAUAGGCUAACGACAUGGUGUGAGAUUUAGGUUUAGUGUAGUGCAAAAAAUGAAGUUUUGUGACGUGAGCAUUUAUAUUGAAAGUUGUUAUAGAGGCUAAAAGCUAAUCACAACAUAUAUGCAGAUUGUGGACAGUCCUAAAUAGCAAAAUGUGCCACAUGUUUGAUGGCAGGAUAGACAGUACAUAGUAGUUUUAUAGUGGUAGCAUUGAAACAGUUCUGCUAGAUGAGCACAUAGGAGUAUAGGACUAUAAAACUAUAUUACACAUGGCUAAAUUCUACUAAUAUGGUUUGGAUGCCUUCACCGAAUUCACACAGGGGCCCUUUUGUUGAUGUGCAAAUGGAAGUGCAAUAUGUUUUGCUAUGAUGAAUUGCUUCCCCCGUGUA